rnacentral:rRNA from 1 species
ACGGUACCUGAAGAAGAAGCACCGGCUAACUACGUGCCAGCAGCCGCGGUAAUACGUAGGGUGCGAGCGUUAAUCGGAAUUACUGGGCGUAAAGCGUGCGCAGGCGGCUUUGUAAGACAGGUGUGAAAUCCCCGGGCUUAACCUGGGAACUGCGCUUGUGACUGCAAGGCUCGAGUGUGGCAGAGGGGGGUGGAAUUCCACGUGUAGCAGUGAAAUGCGUAGAGAUGUGGAGGAACACCGAUGGCGAAGGCAGCCCCCUGGGUCAACACUGACGCUCAUGCACGAAAGCGUGGGUAGCAAACAGGAUUAGAUACCCUGGUAGUCCACGCCCUAAACGAUGCCAACUAGGUGUUGGGGAAGGAGACUUCCUUAGUACCGUAGCUAACGCGUGAAGUUGGCCGCCUGGGGAGUACGGUCGCAAGAUUAAAACUCAAAGGAAUUGACGGGGACCCGCACAAGCGGUGGAUGAUGUGGAUUAAUUCGAUGCAACGCGAAAAACCUUACCUACCCUUGACAUGCCAGGAACCCUGCUGAGAGGUGGGGGUGCUCGAAAG